rnacentral:ncRNA from 1 species
UUAGCGGUGGAUCACUUGGCUCGUGGAUCGAUGAAGAACGCAGCUAGCUGCGAUAAAUAGUGCGAAUUGCAGACGCAUUGAGCACAAAGAUUUCGAACGCACAUUGCACCAUCGGGUUGAUUCCCGAUGGUACGUCUGGUUGAGGGUCAAUAUCUAUCUAUUCUUAACAUAUUAUAAUAUAUCAUUCGAUAUAUAUUCAAGCAGAACGAAAAUUUUUGCUUGUUUAUUUGAUAUAUUAUUUUGAAUGUUAAAAUAAUCGUCAGGUGUUUGAAAUGUGAAAUAAUUCGUUCCCCUGAUAAGUUAUAAUAAUAGUAAUAAGAGAAUUAUAUUAUUUUCUUAUUAAUAUUUAACAACAUAUUGUGCAAAUAAUACAUCUUUCAUACAUAUAUAAAUGUAGCAAGGAAAGAUGUAAAUUAUUAUCAUUUUAUCAUCAUCAUCAUCAUCAUUAUAAAAAUGAAUGAAUGAAUAAAAGGAUAAAACAAUAUGAUUUGAAUCAUUUCUUUGACCUCAACUCAGUCGUGAUUACCCGCUGAAUUUAAGCAUAUAACUAAGCGGAGGAAAAGAAACUAACGAGGAUUUCAUUAGUAAAGGCGAGUGAAAAGGAAAAAGCCCAACGCUGAAUCCAAUAGACAUUUGGCGCUAACCGGAAAUGUCGCAUACAGGUACAACUAUUCGCAACAUGAAUCCAAACAUCCAAAGUCCCCUUGAGCGGGGCCACAAUCCAUAGAAGGUGCUAGACCUGUACGGGUGAAAAAAGUUAUGGUAGGUUAUACCUUGGAGUCGGGUUGUUUGAGAUUGCAGCCCAAAGAGGGUGGUAAACCUCAUCUAAGGCUAAAUACGACCACGAGACCGAUAGCAAACAAGUACCGUGAGGGAAAGUUGCAAAGAACUUUGAAGAGAGAGUUCAAGAGGGCGUGAAACCGUUAA